CCUACGGGUGGCAGCAGUGGGGAAUAUUGGGCAAUGGAGGCAACUCUGACCCAGCAACGCCGCGUGAGUGAUGAAGGUCUUCGGAUUGUAAAACUCUUUAAGUGGGGACGAAGAAAGUGACUGUACCCACAGAAUAAGCCUCGGCUAACUACGUGCCAGCAGCCGCGGUAAUACGUAGGAGGCAAGCGUUAUCCGGAAUGACUGGGCGUAAAGGGUGCGUAGGUGGUUUGGCAAGUUAGUAGCGUAACUCCAAGGCUCAACCUUGGAACUACUACUAAAACUGUUGGACUUGAGUGCAGGAGGGGCAACCGGAAUUCCUAGUGUAGCGGUGGAAUGCGUAGAUAUUAGGAGGAACACCAGUGGCGAAGGCGGGUUGCUAGACUGUAACUGACACUGAGGCACGAAAGCGUGGGGAGCAAACAGGAUUAGAUACCCUUGUAGUC
rnacentral:rRNA from 1 species